GACGAGGGUCCCUAGCGUUGUUCGGAAUCAUUGGGCGUAAAGGGCGCGUAGGCGGCGUGUCAAGUCGAUUGUGAAAUCUCCGGGCUUAACUCGGAACGACCAAUCGAUACUGACGUGCUAGAGUGCAGAAAGGGCAAUCGGAAUUCUUGGUGUAGCGGUGAAAUGCGUAGAUAUCAAGAGGAACACCUGAGGCGAAGGCGGGUUGCUAGGCUGACACUGACGCUGAGUGCGCGAAAGCCAGGGGAGCAAACGGG
rnacentral:rRNA from 1 species